UUCCCAUUGAGUGCUUCUGCUUCUCUGUCCCCACCCACAAUGUGAUGGAAACACUUGCUGGGGAAGCAGCUCUUCCCUCUGAUCCUGCAGGGAUGGCUGCUCCACUCUGAGGCUCCAGGAUGGCCUUUCUCAGCAGCCUCUGGGUGCUCUCUGAAGCAAAAACAAGAGCUCGUCAGUGUAGAGGCCCACAGGAAAAUGUGUUUUUCUCAGCUCUGAAGUGUUGCUCCUGAAUCCUUUUUUAUUCUGGUCUGUGUCCAUCUUAUCUGCUGCUGUUUCUCAGGCUCUAUCAUGGAAUGUGCAGAGACUCUGGCUGAGAAAGCUUCUGAAACUGGGUGUCUUUCACUCAGGCACUUGUAAAAACCAUUUGUGGGUGCUCACAACCUUCCCAGGUAAGGCAAGUUACUUCCAGUUGAGCUCACUGAGCAAACAUCUGCCUUUUAAACGAAUUUCCAGGAAGGAAACAGGGUGAGAGGCGGCUGCUGUGGUGGAAGGCUGUGGCUGGGAACAAACCUGAGGUCUUGAAAAUACCAAUUUUUUUUUUUUUUUAGAGCUACAGUGAGGGUGGUUCCAGCCUGGAGAACUCUCCACAAGGAAUGUGUGUGCAGGGAAGGCAGGAGGGUCGAUGAUUGGCAUGAGUCAGCUCUCUCCUUGCUCCCACUCCUGAGGCCACCUGGUUUGAUGGACACUUCUCUGCUCUCAGCUCUGCCCUCCCUGGAGCCAGCAGGAGCAGAGAAGCUGCUCAAAUAUUUAUUAAAAAAACCGAUGUUCUUACAAGACUCACCGAAAUCCAGGAUACUUCUCUGGUCCUGACAGGAGAUUAAUGUCUUCAGAACACUCCCACGAGGAGCUGGAUGGCAUCCACCCUGGCUUUGGGGAUCCUGGCAGGGGCUGUGCUGGGAUGUUGGGACAUUCCGUUGUCACGCGGAAUUCUGGGCUGGUGUCACAAAGGAGCAAGGCCUGGCCUCGUGUGGCACCAGAGGAAGGAUUUAUCUCUGCUGAGAUGUUGGGCACGGUAGGAUGGGAGGGAUUCGAGGAGCAGACAGAUCCCAGCACGUGGCUGGAGGUGUCACUGUCCCUAAUUAAGGAGUGGCAGGUCCCCUGGGGAUCCAAAUGUCCCAUGGGAUGCUGUGCUGUGGUCUGGUCACACCAAAGUGGUCACUGUGACCACACUUGUCACAGUCCCCUCUAUCCCACGGCCAGACACGCAGCCAUCCCCCAAAGGGACACCUGAGCACUGGUGACACGAUAAAAGUGCCCUACAAAUCCCUACAAAUGUGGGAUUUGGGGACAUUUUGGCCACUCCCUUCAUUUGGAAGUUCCCUUGAGCAGAGGCUGCUUGUCCUGGGAUAACUCCUGAUCCUUUCACACCUUGUGCUUGCAAGCUGAGUGACAAAAGCCUGGUCCCUGCUGGCAGCACAGAGCUCCAGAGCUCUCCUGGCUGCUGAAGGUACAGCAGAGCCUGGUGUGCUUGCAAAGGGCUCCGGCUUCCUGUCCUAAAACAUUCCUCACAGCUGUUCAACAGCUUGCUGCAUUAAAAGCCAUGAAUGAAGUGGAGUCCUACUUGUAAAGAAAUGGGUUGCAGGAUUUUUAGCACUCUGGGAAUAGGGAGCAGCAGUGCUUUGUAAAUUAGAUCUAUUAAAUACUUAGUGAUAUCA